AACGAACGCUGGCGGCAUGCCUAACACAUGCAAGUCGAACGAACCCUUCGGGGUUAGUGGCGCACGGGUGCGUAACGCGUGGGAAUCUGCCCUUUGCUUCGGAAUAACAGUUAGAAAUGACUGCUAAUACCGGAUGAUGUCUUCGGACCAAAGAUUUAUCGGCAAAGGAUGAGCCCGCGUAGGAUUAGGUAGUUGGUGGGGUAAAGGCCUACCAAGCCGACGAUCCUUAGCUGGUCUGAGAGGAUGAUCAGCCACACUGGGACUGAGACACGGCCCAGACUACUACGGGAGGCAGCAGUGGGGAAUAUUGGACAAUGGACGCAAGUCUGAUCCAGCAAUGCCGCGUGAGUGAUGAAGGCCUUAGGGUUGUAAAGCUCUUUUACCAGGGAUGAUAAUGACAGUACCUGGAGAAUAAGCUCCGGCUAACUCCGUGCCAGCAGCCGCGGUAAUAC
rnacentral:rRNA from 1 species